AUUGAACGCUGGCGGCAGGCCUAACACAUGCAAGUCGAACGAGUGGCGGACGGGUGAGUAAUGUCUGGGAAACUGCCUGAUGGAGGGGGAUAACUACUGGAAACGGUAGCUAAUACCGCAUACCCUCGGAUGUGCCCAGAUGGGACUAGCUAGUAGGUGGGGUAACGGCUCACCUAGGCGACGAUCCCUAGCUGGUCUGAGAGGAUGACGAGCCCCACUGGAACAGAGAGACGGUCCGAUCUCAUUCGGGAGUCCGCGAUGGGGAAUAUUUCACAAUUGGCGCGAGCCUGGUGCAGCCAUGCCGCGUGUAUUAAGAAGGCCAUCGGGUUGUAAAGUACUUUCAGCAGGAAGGCGUUGCCCGCAGAAGAAGCACCGGCUAACUCCGUGCCAGCAGCCGCGGUAGUUC
rnacentral:rRNA from 1 species